AAAUUAAGCACAAUUUCAUUACCUUAUUAUUAGCUGGAUUAUUAAUUAGUCAGUGCCACAGGUCCCAAAUAUUAAGGACAGUUUCAUUAUUUUAUUAUUAGGCUGUGGCACAGGUCUCUAUUAUUAAGGACAGUUUUAUUAUUUAAUUAUUAGCUGGUGGCACGGGUCUCUAUUAUUAAGGACAGUUUUAUUAUUUAAUUAUUUGGUGGUGGCACGGGUCUCUAUUAUUAAGGACAGUUUUAUUAUUUAAUUAUUAGGUGGUGGCACAGGUCUCUAUUAUUAAGGACAGUUUUAUUAUUUAAUUAUUAGGUGGUGGCACGGGUCUCUAUUAUUAAGGACAGUUUUAUUAUUUAAUUAUUAGGUGGUGGCACGGGUCUCUAUUAUUAAGGACAGUUUUAUUAUUUAAUUAUUAGGUGGUGGCACAGGUCUCUAUUAUUAAGGACAGUUUUAUUAUUUAAUUAUUAGGUGGUGGCACAGGUCUCUAUUAUUAAGGACGGGUUGAUUAGUUGAUUAUUAGGUGGUGACACAUGGCUCCUAGUAUUAAGGACAGUUUGUCUUGUUACGAGGUGGAGACACAGGUCCCUGUUUAUUAAGGACAGUUUUAUAUUCUAGAGAGUCUGUGGCACUAGGCAGUCUUUGUUCUACCCACUGAAAAUGAGUGCAUGUGCCCAGUAAUGGACUGGCAUCCAGUUUUUGAGCGGGUCCCACCUUGAACCCAGAGCUCCUGGCAUUGGCCC